rnacentral:rRNA from 1 species
UACGAAGGGAGCUAGCGUUGUUCGGAAUCACUGGGCGUAAAGCGCACGUAGGCGGAUUUGCAAGUCGGGGGUGAAAUCCCGGGGCUCAACCUCGGAACUGCCUUCGAUACUGUAAGUCUCGAGUCCGGAAGAGGUGGGUGGAAUUCCUAGUGUAGAGGUGAAAUUCGUAGAUAUUAGGAAGAACACCAGUGGCGAAGGCGGCCCACUGGUCCGGUACUGACGCUGAGGAGCGAAAGCCAGGGGAGCAAACGGG